UUCAAACACUCCCCUAAUUUAGCACCUCCUGAAAUAGCUCUGAGCCCGUUAAAUGAACGACAUUUCUGAGAGUCUUUCCGUCUGAGCACACCGGGAAAGCAGUGGGUUCUCCUGUUUGCAGGGAGACUGAAGAGCCUGAACAAAGGAGGGCAGUUACGUGCUCAGCAGCGAACAAAAAUACCUCUCAGCCCACAAGGAGUAGCAGUGAAUGGUGUGCUGGGAAAAGAGGGCAAGUGCUCCUGCUUUGUGGUCCCCAGCCCUGUCCUCACGAGGUCAUGUCAGGCAAAAGCUGCCGGUGCAUGGAGGCAGCUCAGGUGCAGGUUUUUAGAAGGGCACAGAGUGAAAAAUGAGCAAGAAGAAGGAUUAACUUGGCUCUGCCUGACAAGCAGGACCAGAGCCCUCACUGGGGGGAGCACAGAGGAAGGUUGGGUUUAAAUUUUGGCAACCACAGAAAGGUGAAGCAGCAUCUGGCUUGUCUUUUUGGCACUUUCAGGUCAAACCCAGCGUGCCUGAGUGUGACCUCGCUCCUUAUCCCGCACCACACGGGCUCUGUGUGUGUUCUGAUGAGAUCUUUCACUGCAUCCCAUGCAAAACUUGAUUGAAUAUUCCGAGAUCCUGGACCGCUUCCAUCCCUUGGCAUCGUAGUGUUUCAGCAAGCACCAAUUUUCUUGUUUUUCCCCCGUGCAAUUGGAGAGUCGAAAUCUGUGAUGAAUAUAUUAGCGUUCAUUGAAUUACAGAACAGACAUUUAGCAUUUUUCCUGAAGGAUCCUAAAAUGCUUUACAGGCACUUUAACGUAUCACCACCCAAAUGCAACCGCUUUUCAGGCUUAGAUUUAAUUCAAGAUGGAGGGAGAGAAUUUGCUCUGUUAUAUCACAGAAUCACAGAAUGGUUUGGGUUGGAAGGGACCCGAAAGCUCAUCUCAUUCCAAACCCCUGCUGUGGGCAGGGAACUUUCCACUAUACCAGGUUGCUCCGAGCCUCAUCCAACCUGGCCUUGAACACUUCCAGGGAUAUCCCGAAGUUUCUUUACAGGAGGACAGAUUGAUCCAGCUGCAUCAUUGGGAUUUGGAGGUGCAAGACAAGAUCUGUGGCUCUUUAUGAACCAGCUGGGUGCCCCAUCGUGUGUCACUGGGAGUUUCCAUCCUCCUUUUCUCCUGAAAUGAAAAACCCUCCAAAUAUUCAGGGUGAAAGCCAAUAAAUUAUUCCUCUAUUCUUA